rnacentral:rRNA from 1 species
UACGGGGGGGGCAAGCGUUGUUCGGAAUUACUGGGCGUAAAGGGCUCGUAGGCGGCCAUCUAAGUCAGACGUGAAAUCCCUCGGCUUAACCGGGGAACUGCGUCUGAUACUGGACGGCUUGAGUUUGGGAGAGGGACGCGGAAUUCCAGGUGUAGCGGUGAAAUGCGUAGAUAUCUGGAGGAACACCGGUGGCGAAGGCGGCGUCCUGGACCAACACUGACACUGAGGAGCGAAAGCCAGGGGAGCAAACGGG